rnacentral:misc_RNA from 1 species
GAUGAAGAACGUAGCUAAAUGCGAUAAGUAAUGUGAAUUGCAGAAUUCAGUGAAUCAUCGAAUCUUUGAACGCACAUUGCGCCCGCGAGUAUUCUCGCGGGCAUGCCUGUCCGAGCGUCAUUUCAACCCUCAGGGCCCGCCUGCUUCGGCAGGCGCGGCGCUGGUGUUGGGGAUCGGCCUAACCGCCGUCCCCCAAAUACAGUGGCGGUCUCGCUGCAGCCUCCCCUGCGUAGUAGCAACACUCGCAUGCGGAGCGCGGCGCGGCCACGCCGUAAAACCCCCGACUUUCUGAACGUUGACCUCGGAUCAGGUAGGAAUACCCGCUGAACUUAAGCAUAUCAAUAAGCGGAGGA